UCCUAGACAGCUCAGUGGUAAAGAGUCUGCCUGCCAAGCAGGAGAUGCAAGUUUGAUCCUUGGGUUAGGAA
rnacentral:tRNA from 1 species